GUCUCUGUAGCUUAAUGGAUAGAGCGCCAGCCUCCGGAGCUGGAAAUGUGAGUUCGACUCUCACCAGGGACACAA
rnacentral:tRNA from 1 species